GGGCCUGUAGCUCAGACGGUUAGAGCACUGUGCUGAUAACGCAGGGGUCCGUGGUUCGAGUCCACGCAGGCCCA
rnacentral:tRNA from 2 species